rnacentral:rRNA from 1 species
GACGAACGCUGGCGGCGUGCUUAACACAUGCAAGUCGAACGGAAAGGCCCUGCUGUUGUGGGGUGCUCGAGUGGCGAACGGGUGAGUAACACGUGAGUAACCUGCCCUUGACUUUGGGAUAACUUCAGGAAACUGGGGCUAAUACCGGAUAGGAGCUCCUGCUGCAUGGUGGGGGUGGGAAAGUUUCGGCGGGUGGGGAUGGACUCGCGGCUUAUCAGCUUGUUGGUGGGGUAGUGGCUUACCAAGGCUUUGACGGGUAGCCGGCCUGAGAGGGUGACCGGCCACAUUGGUCCUGAGAUACGGCCCAGUCUCCUACGGGAGGCAGCAGUGGGGAAUCUUGCACAAUGGGCCGAAGCCUGAUGCAGCAACGCCGCGUGCGGGAUGACGUCCUUCGGGUUGUAAACCGCUUUCGCCUGUGCCGAAGCGUGCGUGACGGUAAUGGGUAAAGAAGCCCCGGCUAACUACGUG